rnacentral:rRNA from 1 species
UGGGGAAUAUUGGGCAAUGGGCGCAAGCCUGACCCAGCAACGCCGCGUGAAGGAUGAAGGUUUUUCGGAUUGUAAACUUCUUUUAAGAGGGACGAUAAUGACGGUACCUCUUGAAUAAGCCCCGGCUAACUACGUGCCAGCAGCCGCGGUAAUACGUAGGGGGCAAGCGUUAUCCGGAUUUACUGGGUGUAAGGGCGUGUAGGCGGGAUUUCAAGUCAGAUGUGAAAACCGAAGGCUCAACCUUCGGCCUGCAUUUGAAACUGAAGUUCUUGAGUGCUGGAGAGGCUAACGGAAUUCCUAGUGUAGCGGUGAAAUGCGUAGAUAUUAGGAAGAACACCAGUGGCGAAGGCGGUUAGCUGGACAGUAACUGACGCUGAGGCGCGAAAGCGUGGGGAGCAAACAGGAUUAGAUACC